rnacentral:rRNA from 1 species
GACGAACGCUGGCGGCGUGCUUAACACAUGCAAGUCGAACGAUGAAGCCUAGCUUGCUAGGUGGAUUAGUGGCCCACGGGUGAGUAAUACGUGAGUAACCUACCUUUAACUCUGGGAUAAGCCUGGGAAACUGGGUCUAAUACCGGAUACGACCAAUCUCCGCAUGGGGUGUUGGUGGAAAGCGUUAUGUAGUGGUUAUAGAUGGGCUCACGGCCUAUCAGCUUGUUGGUGAGGUAACGGCUCACCAAGGCGACGACGGGUAGCCGGCCUGAGAGGGUGACCGGCCACACUGGGACUGAGACACGGCCCAGACUCCUACGGGAGGCAGCAGUGGGGAAUAUUGCACAAUGGGCGCAAGCCUGAUGCAGCGACGCCGCGUGAGGGAUGACGGCCUUCGGGCUGUAAACCUCUGUUAACCAGGAAGAAGAGAGAUUGACGGUACCUGCAGAGAAAGCGCCGGCUAACUACGUGCCAUCAGCCGCGGUAAUACGUAUGGCGCGAGCGUUGUCCGGAAUUAUUGGGCGUAAAGAGCUUGUAGGCGGUUUGUCGCGUCUGCUGUGAAGGCCGGAGCUUAACUCCGUGUAUUGCAGUGGGUACGGGCAGACUAGAGUGCAGUAGGGGAGACUGGAAUUCCUGGUGUAGCGGCGGAAUGCGCAGAUAUCAGGAGGAACACCGAUGGCGAAGGCAGGUCUCUGGGCUGUAACUGACGCUGAGAAGCGAAAGCAUGGGGAGCGAACAGGAUUAGAUACCCUGGUAGUCCAUGCCGUAAACGUUGGGCACUAGGUGUGGGGAACAUUCCACGUUUUCCGCGCCGUAGCUAACGCAUUAAGUGCCCCGCCUGGGGAGUACGGCCGCAAGGCUAAAACUCAAAGAAAUUGACGGGGGCCCGCACAAGCGGCGGAGCAUGCGGAUUAAUUCGAUGCAACGCGAAGAACCUUACCAAGGCUUGACAUAUACUGGACCGCAUCAGAGAUGGUGUUUCCCUUCGGGGCUGGUAUACAGGUGGUGCAUGGUUGUCGUCAGCUCGUGUCGUGAGAUGUUGGGUUAAGUCCCGCAACGAGCGCAACCCUCGUUCUAUGUUGCCAGCACGUUAUGGUGGGGACUCAUAGGAGACUGCCGGGGUCAACUCGGAGGAAGGUGGGGAUGACGUCAAAUCAUCAUGCCCCUUAUGUCUUGGGCUUCACGCAUGCUACAAUGGCCGGUACAGAGGGUUGCGAUACUGUGAGGUGGAGCUAAUCCCUAAAAGCCGGUCUCAGUUCGGAUUGGGGUCUGCAACUCGACCCCAUGAAGUCGGAGUCGCUAGUAAUCGCAGAUCAGCAACGCUGCGGUGAAUACGUUCCCGGGCCU